CGCCGAGCUCGUCGCGGAGUUCGGCGAACGCGGCCUCCGAGGCUGCGGGAAGUGCACGUACGACGACGUCGACGGCGGUGACUCCGCCGUCGACGA
rnacentral:tRNA from 1 species